rnacentral:rRNA from 1 species
UGACCGCUGGCGGCGUGCCUAAUACAUGCACGUCGAGCGAACGAACGAGAAGCUUGCUUCUCUGAUGUUAGCGGCGGACGGGUGAGUAACACGUGGAUAACCUACCUAUAAGACUGGGAUAACUUCGGGAAACCGUAGCUAAUACCGGAUAAUAUUUUGAACCGCAUGGUUCAAAAGUGAAAGACGGUCUUGCUGUCACUUAUAGAUGGAUCCGCGCUGCAUUAGCUAGUUGGUAAGGUAACGGCUUACCAAGGCAACGAUGCAUAGCCGACCUGAGAGGGUGAUCGGCCACACUGGAACUGAGACACGGUCCAGACUCCUACGGGAGGCAGCAGUAGGGAAUCUUCCGCAAUGGGCGAAAGCCUGACGGAGCAACGCCGCGUGAGUGAUGAAGGUCUUCGGAUCGUAAAACUCUGUUAUUAGGGAAGAACAUAUGUGUAAGUAACUGUGCACAUCUUGACGGUACCUAAUCAGAAAGCCACGGCUAACUACGUG